UACGAAGGACCCGAGCGUUAUCCGGAUUUAUUGGGUUUAAAGGGUGCGUAGGCGGAUUAGUAAGUCAGUGGUGAAAGCCCAUCGCUUAACGGUGGAAUUGCCAUUGAUACUGCUAGUCUUGAGUAUGGUUGAGGUGGGCGGAAUGUGUCAUGUAGCGGUGAAAUGCUUAGAUAUCGGAAGGAACAUCAGUGGCGAAAGCGACUUCCUGGACCAGUACCGACGUUCAGGCACGAAAGCGUGGGGAGCAAACAGG
rnacentral:rRNA from 1 species